GCCCUAGUAACGGCGAGUGAAGCGGCAACAGCUCAAAUUUGAAAGCUAGCCUUCGGGUUCGCAUUGUAAUUUGUAGAGGAUGAUUUGGGGAAGCCGCCUGUCUAAGUUCCUUGGAACAGGACGUCAUAGAGGGUGAGAAUCCCGUAUGUGACAGGAAAUGGCACCCUAUGUAAAUCUCCUUCGACGAGUCGAGUUGUUUGGGAAUGCAGCUCUAAAUGGGAGGUAAAUUUCUUCUAAAGCUAAAUAUUGGCGAGAGACCGAUAGCGCACAAGUAGAGUGAUCGAAAGAUGAAAAGCACUUUGGAAAGAGAGUUAAAAAGCACGUGAAAUUGUUGAAAGGGAAGCGCUUGCAAUCAGACUUGUUUAAACUGUUCGGCCGGUCUUCUGACCGGUUUACUCAGUUUGGACAGGCCAGCAUCAGUUUCGGCGGCCGGAUAAAGGCUCUGGGAAUGUGGCCUCCACUUCGGUGGAGGUGUUAUAGCCCAGGGUGUAAUACGGCCAGCCGGGACUGAGGUCCGCGCUUCGGCUAGGAUGCUGGCGUAAUGGUUGU
rnacentral:rRNA from 1 species